GGUGUAGGCGCAGCGAAAGCGAGUCUUAAAAGGGCGAAUGAGUUCGUGGGAUCAGACCCGAAACCGAGUGAUCUAGCCAUGACCAGGAUGAAGGUAAGGUAACACUUACUGGAGGUCCGAACCAACACCCGUUGAAAAGGGUCUGGAUGAGUUGUGGCUAGGGGUGAAAGGCUAAUCAAACUCGGAGAUAGCUGGUUCUCCGCGAAAGCUAUUUAGGUAGCGCCUCGGACGAAUACCUACGGGGGUAGAGCACUACAUGGGUGAUGGGGUCCCACAGACUUACUGAGCCUAAGUAAACUCCGAAUACCGUAGAGUACUAUCCGGGAGACACACAUCGGGUGCUAACGUCCGGUGUGAAGAGGGAAACAACCCUGACCUACAGCUAAGGCCCCCAAUUCGUGGCUAAGUGGGAAAGCAGGUGGGAUUUCCAAAACAACCAGGAGGUUGGCUUAGAAGCAGCCAUCCUUUAAAGAUAGCGUAACAGCUCACUGGUCUAAAUAAGAGAUCCUGCGGCGAAGAUGUAACGGGG
rnacentral:rRNA from 1 species